AUUGAACGCUGGCGGCAGGCUUAACACAUGCAAGUCGAGCGAGCGGCGGACGUGUGUAGAAUGUAUGGGAAACCGCCUGAUGGAGGGGGAUAACUCCUGGAAACGGUAGCUAAUACCGCAUACCAUCAGAUGUGCCCAGAUGGGAAUAGCUAGUAGGUGGGGUAAAGGUUUACCAAGGCGACGAUCCCUUGCUGGUCUGAGAGGAUGACCAGCCACACUGGAACUGAGACACGGCCCAGACUCCUACGGGAGGCAGCAGUGGGGAAUAUUGCACAAUGGGCGCAAGCCUGAUGCAGCCAUGCCGCGUGUGUGAAGAAGGCCUUCGGGUUGUAAAGCACUUUCAGCGAGGAGGCGUUACUCGCAGAAGAAGCACCGGCUAACUCCGUGCCAGCAGCCGCGGUAAUAC
rnacentral:rRNA from 1 species